GUUCGAGUAGUUUAAGAAAAACUUUUCCUUUUCAUGGAAAGAAUAUGGGAAAUCCUUCUCGAAAA
rnacentral:tRNA from 1 species